rnacentral:rRNA from 1 species
GACAUAAUGCAACUAGCACAGUCUAAUAAUCACCACCACCACCACCACUAAACCCAGCUUUCUUAGCCUGUGGGUAGUGACGAAGGCCGAAAGCUGUUCGAUCUUAUCGGAUUGAUCGGGCAGCCUGGGACUUCCAGGAAAUAGCUCCCACGCCAAGACCGUACCCGAAACCGACACAGGUGGACUGGUAGAGCAUACCAAGGCGCUUGAGAGAAUGGUGUUGAAGGAACUCGGCAAAUUGCUCCCGUAACUUCGGAAGAAGGGAGACCUCUCUUUGCGCAAGCAGAGGGGGGUGGCACAGACCAGGGGGUGGCGACUGUUUACUAAAAACACAGGGCUCUGCGAAGUCGCAAGACGACGUAUAGGGUCUGACGCCUGCCCGGUGCCGGAAGGUUAAGAGGAGGGGUGCAAGCUCUGAAUCGAAGCCCCGGUAAACGGCGGCCGUAACAAUAACGGUCCUAAGGUAGCGAAAUUCCUUGUCGGGUAAGUUCCGACCUGCACGAAUGGCGUAACGACUUCCCCGCUGUCUCCAACACCAACUCAGCGAAAUUGAACUCUCCGUGAAGAUGCGGAGUACCCGCGGUUAGACGGAAAGACCCCGUGCACCUUUACUCCAGCUUUGCAGUGGUAUUAGAGGUUUCAUGUGUAGGAUAGGCGGGAGACUAUGAAGCAUUGGCGCCAGCUAGUGUGGAGUCACCCUUGAAAUACCGCCCUUGAAACCUCUGAUAUCUAACCGCGUCCCGUUAUCCGGGACCGGGACCCUGCAUGGUGGGGAGUUUGACUGGGGCGGUCGCCUCCCAAAGAGUAACGGAGGCGCGCGAUGGUGGGCUCAAGCUGGUCGGAAAUCAGCUGACGAGUGCAAUGGCAUAAGCCCGCCUGACUGCGAGACCGACAGGUCGAGCAGAGACGAAAGUCGGCCAUAGUGAUCCGGUGGUCCCGCGUGGAAGGGCCAUCGCUCAACGGAUAAAAGGUACGCCGGGGAUAACAGGCUGAUCUCCCCCAAGAGUCCAUAUCGACGGGGAGGUUUGGCACCUCGAUGUCGGCUCAUCACAUCCUGGGGCUGGAGCAGGUCCCAAGGGUUCGGCUGUUCGCCGAUUAAAGUGGUACGUGAGCUGGGUUUAGAACGUCGUGAGACAGUUCGGUCCCUAUCUGCCGUGGGUGUCGGAGACUUGAGAGGAUUGUCCCUAGUACGAGAGGACCGGGAUGAACGUACCUCUGGUGUACCGGUUGUGGCGCCAGCCGCAUCGCCGGGUAGCUAAGUACGGACGGGAUAACCGCUGAAUGCAUCUAAGCGGGAAACCCACCUCAAAACCAGGUCUCCCUCGAGAGCCGUGGAAGACCACCACGUCGAUAGGCCAGGUGUGGAAGCGCAGUAAUGCGCGAAGCUAACUGGUACUAAUCGCUUGAAAAA